CAUGUCCUUUUGAUUAUAAUUUAAGGUCUAAUCUGCCCACUGAAAUUUUAAAUGGCCGCAGUAAUUUGACUGUGCUAAGGUAGCAUAAUCAUUAGUUUUUUAAUUGAAAGCUGGAAUGAAUGAUUGGAUGAAAUAAAAACUGUCUCAAAUUUAUUAAAAUAAAAUUUUAUUUUUAAGUUAAAAAGCUUAAAUAUAAUUAAAAGACGAGAAGACCCUAUAGAGUUUUAUAUAAUAUUUUUAAUUUUAAUUAUUAUUUAUAAAAUUUUGUUGAAAUUAUUGUAUUUUGUUGGGGUGACAAAAAAAUAUAAUAAACUUUUUUUUAAUUUAAACAUAUAUAAAUGAUUAUUUGAUCCAUAAUUUAUGAUUAUAAGAUUAAAUUACCUUAGGGAUAACAGCGUAAUUUUUUUUAAGAGUUCUUAUCGAAAAAAAAGAUUGCGACCUCGAUGUUGGAUUAAAGUUUAAUUUUGGGGUAGCAGCUAAAAAUUUAAGUCUGUUCGACUUUUGAAACUUUACAUGAUCUGAGU
rnacentral:rRNA from 1 species